UGCCAGCAGCCGCGGUAACACGGGGGGCUAGCGUUGUUCGGAAUAACUGGGCGUAAAGCGCACGUAGGCGGAAUGUUAAGUGAGGGGUGAAAUCGUACGGCUCAACCGUAUCUCCGCCAUUAAUACUGGCAAGCUUGAGUGUGGCAGAGGAAUUUGGAAUGCGUGGUGUAGCGGUGAAAUGCAUAGAUAUCACGCAGAACACCAAUUGCGAAGGCAGAAUUCUAUGUCAUAACUGACGCUGAGGCACGAAAGCGUGGGUAGCGAACAGGAUUAGAUA
rnacentral:rRNA from 1 species